AGUUGUCUUCCACAGGUGGAACAUUUGGUUGGAAUAAGGAAAGAGAACAUAAGCCUCUUCCAGGCAUUUUUAGAGAUAUACAAUUUUUAAAACAUUCAAACUAGAAAAAUUGUCCAACUGUCACUAUCCUCAAGUGCUUCAACUCUACUAGAAAAUGGAAAGACCUUUGAAAGAAAGAGUGUUAAUGGGCUAAAAGAAUUUCAAUACAUAGGAUGAAGAUGAAUCAAAAUGAAUUGCGAAUGAAAAAUUGAGAGCAGAUGAUGUAAGUAGGUUAUAAACAUACUGCCUCUUUUUCUCAUAUACUUAUAAAAAAUGCUCUUUGUUACUUUAGAUUUUAGAGGUUGAAGUUCAAUGGCAUCUUAGACAAGGAAAGAGAAACUCUAAUGCCUUUUCUUAUUUGUUUUGUAUAUUUAUCUCUAAAACCUAGACUUCCUACCAGAGAACACUUUGUAGCCAACAAUAAGGAAGUCAGAUUUGGGAUAUUAAAAAACAAUAACCUUUUAAUGUUUGAGAAAAGAUGGGCUUGAGAAAGCCAUUCCAGGUUGUAAUCUAUUAAUUGUGAAGUGUAGUUCACCGAAAAUUUGAUUUCUAUUCCAAUAUUUGCUUAGGAGCUAUAGUUAAAUAUUUAAUAUCAAUGAUUAUUAGCUAUGGCUUUGAGACUUGGUUGGACACCAUGAUUCGCUUUCAUCUGACCUUUUUGGAGAUUCAAUUUAUUUUAACUCAACUGAGAAUCACAGAGUCAGAGUUAAAUGAAAUUUUAGAAAUCACUGAAUACCACUUUCACUCACCACCACCGGAUGGAUAAGAACUCUGAGUUUCUGAUGGAGUAAGUUGCUGUAGUUCACUCAGCAAAUCAGAGAAAGAACUUGUGCAGACAUUAGGAAUUCCACAUACAGGCCUUUCAUUGCCUGAGAUAAGCCAGUCCAAACUAUUUGCAAAUGUUAGGAAAAAAAUCUGGAUUCUGCUCAAGACACCACUUUCCUGAUUCAAUGGGGUCAACAUGAAACCAGGACAUUCAUGUUCUAAGCUGCAUGGGAUGUCCUGUAUCUACUUUUUUGAAACAAGCUUCAGUUCUGAAUGGCUAAUGGAUUAGAUGCUCUUAAUUUUGCUUUUCCAUCUUCAUUAAUACUUCGUAGAAGAAAAAAGCAUUACAUUCUAUAAAUAGAAAUAGAAUUGCAGAUUAGAGAUUAGUGAUUUGAAAAUACUUCUACAGCCAUUUAGCAAUGAAGAAGAAAGACUACAAGUUAUUUUCAGUAAGAUUUUCUCUAAGAAAUAGUCCUCAGAGUCCUGGAAAGGUAGACUUCAACAAAUAUCCAUGGCUGGGCAGCCUCAGAUUUCAAUGAAAUAUUUUCCUGAUGGUCUUUGGAGGUGACUCCACUUAUUUCUCCCAUGUAAAAGAAUUUACUUGGUAGAUCUCAUGGAGGUGGAAUGGCCAAGUCAAUUUUUUAAGUACAAGGAAAUAUUAUUAGCAUGUAGCAAACUUUGUUGGUUACAAGACUCCACAUUGAGCUCUUGCUUCUAACUUCCUUUCUAAGAGACCACCAGUUUAAUUGGGGGGGGGGGGUUGUCUAACGUCUUUCUUCUGCAUCCACAUGCUACAUUAGGCUAGUCAAGGGAAUCCCACCUCCCUUGGACAUGCUAACGGUCAGAACAGGCACGUGACACACACAGAAGGAGUUGUGAGGGUGUUCCUGUUGAAUGAUUUCUGGGAAUUUUUUCUUAUAAAAGAGACUGUCAGCAGGAGCUGAUGAAUUAGCUUCCACUGGACACUGCCACAUGUGUGUUUCCUGCCCAGAUUGCUGUAGCCUCCCCACAACCAUGAGGGCAGCCAGCCGGAGAAUGAAGCCGGCAGGCAGGGAGGACAGAGUCGUGGCAGACAGAGUGCUGGUUCUUGGCAUUCUGGAGCCUCAGAUUUCACCAACCCUUUCACUGCCAUGCCUGAGGCUUCCUGUUAUACAAAACAACCACAUUUCCUCCUACUUUUAAGACAGCUAAUUGAGGGUUUUCUGUUGCUUCCUACAGCAAACAUCUUAAUGGAUAUACAAAUAAUACAGAAGUAACCUUUCCCCUGACAUUUUAAAAAAUGUGGCGACCCCUGUCAAGGACUUUCACUUCAGCAGUAUACUUCCAUCCCCAGAGAGGCUGCUAAGAAUACAGAGUUGGCUAGAUUACUAUCCCCAGUGAUGGAAUAUUCAAAAUUUAAUCAGUUUUCAGUUCAAGGAAAUAACCGCUAAUAAAAAAAAUGCUUUUGGAUCAUUUCAUGAGGCAGAGUACUUUAUUCCAUAUGGCAUCCUGCACGUCCAUAUGGCUUCAGGAAUUAGAGAGGUAUAUUUGUCAAAAUAUUCAAUCAAUUGCAGCCCUUAAAGUUGAUAAUGUUAUGUGUUUGGAGCAUACACCAUCUCUUGAAUAUGGGGGAAAGUCAAAGGAGCAAAUGCCAGCCAAAGAAAAAUCACAGUGAGUUUAUAUUCAGGAGAGAAGGAAAAGAAAGAAAAGAGACCUGCACUGCUAUAAUUUAAUCCAAAUCAUGUGAAUGAUAUUGACUCGGCGCUGCAAUAACCUAGUCAUGGGUAAAAGCAAUGUGUAAUAAGAUUUAUUCAAAUAAGAAUAGGGCAGGAAAAUUCUGAUUAUUUUACAUUUCAAUAGGCAUAAUUUUAAAACAUCAACCACAUAUAAAGCAGUUACCUCAAAGAAAAAGACAUGUAUUAAACAAAUUUAAACACCUUCAACAUUUUGUAAGUUUUUUUAUUUUUUAUUUUAUUUUUUUUCCCUGCACCAUUGCCCAACCAGACUUCAGAGAUUGUUCUUAACCCCUUCUGGCUUUGGCUGCCUAUAAACUGCUUUAGCUGUGACUGAUCUAAAAUUUCUGCAAACUUGUCUUUCUAGAUAAGGAAAUUAAGUAGAAUAGCUGCCCACAGGGAAUACAUCAUGUCACUGGCACCUUCCAUUCUUAUGUCAUGUAUUCUGGGUCUGAGUGCAUGGGGAAGGCUGGCUCAGGAGGCAGGCUGAGCUUCUUGGGCAACAGGUUUUUUGUUGUUGUUGUUGUUGUUGUUUCAAGGUAAUAAAAAAAUAAGCAUGAGCUGUAUUUCAGUGAAAUUAUCCCAAAUGAGAGAAAGCAGAAGAUGUUAGAUUUGAUGCUGUGCGGAAAAGAGAGGCAACUGACAGACAAACGAGGUUGGUUCCCCUAGAAAAAAAAAAUAGAAUCAAACCCAUCAAACAAGAAACGGACAGAAGUCUGUAAGGGCCACAGGCACGAAGAGACCAAUUUUCUGAAAUACAUUUCAUGUUAAAUUAACUACUCUCAGAUUAGGAUGCUGAAUAUAUCCAAUAUACACAAGUUAGGUGAGUAAAAUUCAAUGAGGAUGUUUCUGAAUGUUUAUACAGAGGAAUUUACAAAUGAACAAAUUCAAAAUCGAUUUCAUACCAUCAAAGGAUUAUCCUCUGGAUGUGGAAGUGAAACUGGAAUGGCAUAAAGGUUAGCCAAUUCCCUUCAUUUCUGCCAAUAAGCACUACUUCUGAGUCAUCAGAACCCCAGGGGUGCCUGCCUCUGGGCUUCAGCUUACAUAGAAAUUGUCAAGUUGGUGCUUUUUGAACAACACAAUGAAACUGACAAAGUUUGAAAUAUUGCAGGCAUGAAACUGUUAAAAAACAAAGGACAAACCAUGACAUAAUAUUGAGUCUAAUGAACCUGUCCUACAACGUCAGGAUUGAUAAUACUCUCUCUUCCCCAAUUUUUAUGUAAAUUAUUUGAUGUAAACAUAUCACAUCCCAAGAUGAAUUCUGGUUUGUCACAAACUCAUACAAUGUUUGUGAGUGUCUUGAGUGCCCUGAGGGCAAGGGAAUGCCUCCCUCCACUUAGCAAGUGCUUAGUAUCCAUCUGAUUCUCAGGCAAGUGUGCUCCACACUUGUCUGAAGGCACAACAGGGAUUCAGCCUCACCUGGAGUCGGCCGAGUCCUUCCCACUCUGUGCAGGCUUUCUUGAUACUCUCAGAUCACACUAAUUUCUUCCUUCUAGGAACAUAUAGCACAGUAUUAUUAUUAUUAUUAUUAUUAUUAUUAUUAUUAUUAUUCACGGUACUGAUUCGUUUUUUAUCUUAUUUUUCAAUUUUUUUUUAAUACUUUACAAGGUCUAGGAUACAUGUGCACAACGUGCAGGUUUGUUACAUAUGUAUACAUCUGCCAUUUUGGUGAUAGCACAGUAUUAUUUAGUGUUCAAUUACAUUCUUCAAGUUCCCCCCUUUCUUGUCUCUCCAAAUAUUUUCGGGUCUCUUAAAGAAGAAAAUGUGCCUUGUUUUUCUCUCAGAUGCUUGUCUUUAGCACUUAGCAUGGUGCUGAGGGUAUGUGAAGUUGAUUGGUUUGUGAGUGGAGAAAAAGGAGAUUUCUAAAGCACUAGAAAAGAUCUGCCUCUCCAUGUAUACUAACUCCUUGUUUGGUGUGAGCAUGUCUGAGGAAAAAGCAUAAUCACAUCAAAUGGAGUCACAAGUUCAUCACUUUAGUUUCCCUGGAAGGCAGCUCUAGUAGAGGAGAUCUGGCAAGAAUUUUGAAUUCAGAAAAAUCUGGAUUUGAAACUUGACUCUAAUCUUUACUAGCUUGUAACAUUGGUAAAAGAGUCUUUCUGUGUUUCCGUAUUUACUGGUAAAAGUACGAAUAAUACAACCUUCUUGAAUGUUUUUGGAAAUAUUAAAUGAGAUAAGGCAUUGGAUAUGUCCUAGCAUGUAAGAAGGAAAUGAUGUUUAUAUUGAUUCUCUUUCUGUGCUAGUAACCAGUGACCAUUUGUACCCUGAACUUUCUAUUUCUUCCUGAAACUAUUUUCUUUUUCUCUUGAUGUUAUCUUUUGGAAAAUAUCAACAAAAGGAGAUCAUAUGAGUAAAGUCUAAGGAUUCAAAUGCUGGGAGGGACCUGGAGUGCUGUGGGUGACUAUCCCAUGACUCCCUAUUUAUCGUAUGAAUGGCCAGACUGUUAGUACUCCCAUUCAUACGUACCCACCCACUCCCAAUUUCAAUACAAAUUUAUAUCUCUAUAAAUGACUAAAAUACUAUUGUGUUGGUUUUUCUUUCUUUUUUUCUUGUUGCCACAACAAAUUAUCACUUACUUAAAGAACAUAAGAUGAAAGUGAUAUGUUUUAAAGCAUAAAAUAAAAAGAAACAAAACAAAUUUAUUAUCUUACCAUUCUGUGGGUGAGACGUUCACGUGACUUUGGCCAAAAUUUAGGGGGUGGUAGGUUGUGUUCUUUUCUGGAGGAUCUAGGGAUUUAUUUCCUAGGGUUUCCAGCCUCUAGAAUUCUGGACUUGAAUGGGAGUGACAGCGUUUUUCUUCUAGUAAUAAGCAUAGGUGUAGGCUGGUGCAAUUGAUAGCCACUACAUGCAAGAGAGCAGAAUCAAGAGAAAUGAAGAGAUGCUAGUCCUGUUGACUUCAAUUGACACUGAAAUAUCAGUCAUCUCUGAAGCUGAAUAUCCAUGAACUUGUCAGGUAUGUGGUAUGACAUUUGUAAAUAUAUAUAUAUAUAUAUAAGCUUUAAUUGAAUUACUUCUCACUUUCUUCUUUCCCCUCUUGAAAACAUAGGUAGUGUCUUCUUUCAUUGGGCCUUAUGGCUCCCUAAAUAAUAUGAUUCCAGAUUAGUGUGUUGGAUAAAAUAUAGUUGGGCUAGCCUCAUUAUUCUAAUAUAUUUUAAAAUGAUAAGAACACUGAAAGAAGAGUGAGUAUUUAGACCACUUUCUUCCAAAUAAAAGAACACUGAUGAAACCUACAAGGAACUUUUUACUACUUUGGAUCUAUCUUUGGAUCAAAAUAGGAUACACCUUCCUACAUUGUCUGAUUCUAAAUAUCUAUAAUGUUUUUCACAGUACAAUGACUU